UUAGCGAAUGGAUUGAGAGCUUGCUCUCAAGAAGUUAGCGGCGGACGGGUGAGUAACACGUGGGUAACCUGCCCAUAAGACUGGGAUAACUCCGGGAAACCGGGGCUAAUACCGGAUAACAUUUUGAACUGCAUGGUUCGAAAUUGAAAGGCGGCUUCGGCUGUCACUUAUGGAUGGACCCGCGUCGCAUUAGCUAGUUGGUGAGGUAACGGCUCACCAAGGCAACGAUGCGUAGCCGACCUGAGAGGGUGAUCGGCCACACUGGGACUGAGACACGGCCCAGACUCNUACGGGAGGCAGCAGUAGGGAAUCUUCCGCAAUGGACGAAAGUCUGACGGAGCAACGCCGCGUGAGUGAUGAAGGCUUUCGGGUCGUAAAACUCUGUUGUUAGGGAAGAACAAGUGCUAGUUGAAUAAGCUGGCACCUUGACGGUACCUAACCAGAAAGCCACGGCUAACUACGUGCCAGCAGCCGCGGUAAUACGUAGGUGGCAAGCGUUAUCCGGAAUUAUUGGGCGUAAAGCGCGCGCAGGUGGUUUCUUAAGUCUGAUGUGAAAGCCCACGGCUCAACCGUGGGAGGGUCAUUGGAAACUGGGAGACUUGAGUGCAGAAGAGGAAAGUGGAAUUCCAUGUGUAGCGGUGAAAUGCGUAGAGAUAUGGGAGGAACACCAGUGGCGAAGGCGACUUUCUGGUCUGUAACUGACACUGAGGCGCGAAAGCGUGGGGGGCAAACAGGAUUAGAUACCCUGGUAGUCC
rnacentral:rRNA from 1 species